rnacentral:rRNA from 1 species
UACGUAGGGUGCGAGCGUUAAUCGGAAUUACUGGGCGUAAAGCGUGCGCAGGCGGUUCGUUGUGUCUGAUGUGAAAGCCCCGGGCUCAACCUGGGAAUGGCAUUGGAAACUGGCGAGCUAGAGUGUGGCAGAGGGGGGGGUGGAAUUCCGCGUGUAGCAGUGAAAUGCGUAGAGAUGCGGAGGAACACCGAUGGCGAAGGCAGCCCCCUGGGCUGACACUGACGCUCAGGCACGAAGCGUGGGGAGCAAACAGG